rnacentral:rRNA from 1 species
UAAAACAUAGAAUUAAUGCAUCGGAUCCCAUUAGAACUCUGCAGUUAAGAACACUCAGGCUAGAGUAGCACUGGGAUGGGUGACUGCCCGGGAAGUCCUAGUAUUUUAC